rnacentral:rRNA from 1 species
CACCAGCAGCUCAAGUGGUGAUCACGUUUACUGGGUUUAGAGGGUGCGUAGUCGGCCAAGCAAGUUUUCUGUGAAAUCCUACGGCUUAACCGUGGGGAUGGCAGAAAAAACUACAUGGCUUGGGACCGGGGGAGGAGUGGGGUAUUUCAGGGGUAGCGGUGAAAUGCUAUAAUCCCUGGAGGACCACCAGUAGCGAAGGCGCCACUCUGGAACGGGUCUGACGAUGAGGUACGAGAGCUAGGGGAGCAAACAG